GCGGCCGUGGCGGAACUGGCAGACGCGCAGGCUUCAGGUGCCUGUGCCCGCAAGGGCGUGGAGGUUCGACUCCUCUCGGCCGCA
rnacentral:tRNA from 1 species